UACGUAGGUGGCAAGCGUUGUCCGGAUUUACUGGGCGUAAAGAGCGCGCAGGCGGUCGUUCAAGUCGCGUGUGAAAGCCCCCGGCUCAACUGGGGAGGGUCACGCGAUACUGCUCGACUCGAAGGCAGGAGAGGGUAGUGGAAUUCCCGGUGUAGUGGUGAAAUGCGUAGAUAUCGGGAGGAACACCAGUGGCGAAGGCGGCUCACUGGCCCGUUACCGACGCUCAGGCGCGACAGCGUGGGGAGCAAACAGG
rnacentral:rRNA from 1 species